GGGCGGGUAGCUCAGUUGGAUAGAGUGUUGGCCUCCGAAGCCAAAGGUCGUGGGUUCGAUUCCCGCUCCGCCCACCA
rnacentral:tRNA from 2 species